GAAGGGGGCGAGCGUUGUUCGGAUUUACUGGGCGUAAAGGGCGCGCAGGCGGCCAUUCAAGUCAGGCGUGAAAGCCCCGGGCUUAACCUGGGAGGUGCGCUUGGGACUGGGUGGCUAGAGAUCGGGAGAGGAGAGUGGAAUUCCCAGUGUAGAGGUGAAAUUCGUAGAUAUUGGGAAGAACACCGGUGGCGAAGGCGGCUCUCUGGACCGAUACUGACGCUGAGGCGCGAAAGCGUGGGGAGCAAACAGGAUUAGAUACCCUGGUAGUCCACGCUGUAAACGAUGUGUGCUAGACGUUGGGGAGCCUAGCUCUUCGGUGUCGCAGUUAACGCUUUAAGCACACCGCCUGGGGAGUACGGCCGCAAGG
rnacentral:rRNA from 1 species